GGGGAAUAUUGGACAAUGGGCGCAAGCCUGAUCCAGCCAUGCCGCGUGUGUGAAGAAGGCCUUAGGGUUGUAAAGCACUUUCAGCGAGGAGGAAGGGAUAGGCGUUAAUAGCGGCUAUUUUUGACGUUACUCGCAGAAGAAGCACCGGCUAACUCCGUGCCAGCAGCCGCGGUAAUACGGAGGGUGCAAGCGUUAAUCGGAAUUACUGGGCGUAAAGCGCACGUAGGCGGUUCGUUAAGUUGGAUGUGAAAGCCCCGGGCUCAACCUGGGAAUUGCAUUCAAAACUGGCAGACUAGAGUAUGUGAGAGGGGGGUAGAAUUCCAAGUGUAGCGGUGAAAUGCGUAGAUAUCGGGAAGAACACCAGUGGCGAAGGCGGCUCUCUGGCCUAGAACUGACGCUAAGGCGCGAAAGCGUGGGGAGCGAACG
rnacentral:rRNA from 1 species